AACGAACGCUGGCGGCGUGGAUAAGACAUGCAAGUCGAACGGGACUUAACCUGUAGCAAUACAGGUUAAGUUUAGUGGCGAACGGGUGCGUAACACGUGGGCAAUCUGCCGAAAAGUGGGGGAUAGCUCGCCGAAAGGCGAAUUAAUACCGCAUAUGGUCAGCCAAGACAUCUUGGUGAAUCCAAAGCCGGGGCAACCUGGCGCUUUUUGAGGAGCCCGCGGCCUAUCAGCUAGUGGUGAGGUAACGGCUCACCAAGGCUUUGACGGGUAGCUGGUCUGAGAGGACGACCAGUCACACUGGAACUGAGACACGGUCCAGACACCUACGGGUGGCAGCAGUCGAGAAUUUUUCUCAAUGGGGAAACCCUGAAGGAGCGACGCCGCGUGGAGGAUGAAGG
rnacentral:rRNA from 1 species